GAAUCCCACGAAAAAUAGCGUCCCAGUUCGGACUGCAGCCUGCAACCCGGCUGCACGAAGCCGGAAUCGCUAGUAAUCGCAGAUCAGCAUGCUGCGGUGAAUACGUUCCCGGGUCUUGUACACACCGCCCGUCACACCAUGGGAGCCGGGAAUGCCCGAAGUCAGCGGCCUAACCGCAAGGAGGGAGCUGCCGAAGGCAGGCCUGGUGACUGGGGUGAAGUCGUAACAAGGUAAC
rnacentral:rRNA from 1 species